AAACGACUUGUGGCCACAUGAAUCACUCACACUUUACACAUCAUUGAUUUAUAAAAAAAAAUAUACACUCAUAGACUAUUUUUUUCUUAUUUCUUGAUAAUUAGUUAUUAUUUAAACGGCAUUCCUUUAUAGAAUGUCCCUAGCCUAUCUACUUAUCAAGUACAUACAUGUUUGUGGUAAGUUAUAUUUUUCAAAGAAUGGCAUUCCGUAUUGGGAGUAUUUGGGAACCCUUUUAUUCUUUAUUAAUUUCUAUCGAAAUAAAAAUGAUGAAUAAAUACCUAUUUCAAGAAUAUCGGCCAGUCAUGGCAUCUAGCAUCGUCACAGUUAAUUAAUUCGCUACCUACCACUAAGAACACUCGUAAAGCUCGUUUGCAGAAAAAAACUUCAAAGUGCUUUAGUUACAUCAAGAAGCACAUGCAAUUGGUUUUACAAGGGAAUGAAGAACGUGGAGAAUUUACCGAUCAUAAAGAGAGCCAUUUCUCGCCAUGAGAAAUAUGAUUCUAAUCUACAUAAAUAUAAAUAUGCAAAGACAAAGGUAUUAUAAUAAAUAAUUUAGUCUUCUGUUUGUCAACCUAUUUUCUUAAUUUGUAAAUUAGUUAGCUUAAUAGCUAUUGUCGAGGCUUAUCAUCAAGGAUUAAUUAUUGAAAAUAAACUUAUACUUGAAAAAUGACAAAGCAGAUGAUUACCAUUUUCGUUUGUUUGUUUGCUUUUAGUAUUAUUGUUUUGUAUCUAUUAACGAGAGUUGUAAUGUUAUCGAUAGAUUAUUUGAAAUUGCUUUGUUUAAUAUUGAUAACAAAGUCAUAUUAUUGUGUAUAAAGUGAUUUUUUUUACUGAUGGUAGGACCUCUUGUGAGUCCGCACGGGUAGGUACCACCACCCCGCCUAUUUCAGCCGUGAAGCAGCAAUGUGUUUCGGUUUGAAGGACGCGGCAGCCGUUGUAACUAUUACCUGACCUUAGAACUCAUAUCUCAGGGUGGGUGGCGGGCGGCAUUUACAUUGUGCAUGUCCAAACUUCAACUUGAACAAAAUUACAAGUUUGCAGAUAAUACCAUUCGAUUUUUAUUGGCCGAGCGAUACGACAAAAAGCAACACGAAAUAAUAUAUUGUGAUAUGUAAAUCGAGCGUGUAAUGAGUCAUUCAACUCGCAGCAUUGAUUUUGUCGCCUUGCAACUGCAUCCGAGUCCGAGGGUCCACGCUACUUCCUGCCGAAUACGCCGAUCAAUUUAACUCAACGUAAGUUCAAUCAUCCACCCGACUGUCGCUUAUUAAUCAAAUACAUAUACGUUUUAAGCCAAAAUGAACCGUAACGUGUUCAAUUUAGAUUAAGUAUCCUUCGAUUAGGUAGGUCCUUUAAAAUAUUUUAACGUACAUUUUGUGAUCUGCACAAUUGAAAACUUAUAUCACACUCAAAUAAUAACAAGAGUUAGCUACUUUUGCAACUAGACUUUAAAACGAUUUAAGAGUCGUGAGAUCGUUUUAGCAUUUCGUGUUAAUUUGAUCUUCGGUCUUCCGUAGCCAAGAAAACUUUAAAAUUUUAAAAUUCGUAUUAUACAAUGCAUAAAAAUUAAUAAUAAACUGUAAUUUAAAAUUACCUACAUUUUUAAGAGAGUACAGAAUGUUUUUCUUAAGCCGGACCAUUUCUAUCCAAGCAUGUUUAUUGCGAGAUUAACAGGGUUAUGAAUCAAUAAGUCUUAAUGAAAUACAACAUAAUAUGUCAAUAACAGAAGAUAAAUACCACAUCACCAGUAGGUAACAUUGUACCCCACAAGCAAAUAAUACCCAACAAUGAAUCAUUGUUUACACUGGUUACCUUACGACUAACACCUUUUCGUAAACAAGACGUUGGCUCCUGCAUUACGGUACACAGAUGACUAAUUUUCUUAAAAAUUAGUAUACACGUAUAAUAAUAUGGUGAUACAACGUUUCCUACUAGCUGCUUUUUAUUACCGGUGCGGCGUCGUGAAUAACAUCCGUUUGUAAAAUUCUUGAAAAAGUAAUCAUAGAGUCAUAUUUUAAUUAGAUUAUUAUUGGGUUACUGUGAGAGAGAUACGGACAGGCAAAGGCUUGGCGGUGUCUCUGGAAUUUCUGAAAUCGAUGAGCGAUGGUGACCACUCACCAUCAGAUGGGCCGUAUGCUCAUCCGGAUAUUGAAGCAAUAAAACAAAACACAGUUUUCGUGUGUGAGCACGUCCUUACAAAGUAGUUUUUAUUAUGACCACGAUUCGCCAAUUACGACGGUAAUACUAUUCAGAAUAUUUCAUUAGAUACCCACUAAGUAAGAUUAAAAGUUGAUAAACUAAUAGAUUGAAACUAAUAUGAUACAUGGACCUUACUACAAGUAUCUUGCUGAACGUGACCUCGAGGGUUCCACCAAUACCAGGUACCAGGGCUUGUUUACUUUUUUUAUAUUUGUUUAAACGAAUAUUCUAUUAAGCUACUGUGGCCUUGACAGUGGUAUAAUCCUUGGACCAUAAACAAUGUAGAAUGUACACAGGAAAUUCUAAGGUCACUCAGGAACCGUUUAAGCAAGCGAAAGAGAACAAAUUUGAUUCGAGACUGUUGGGUUUAAUAAAAAUUAAGUCAAUGAAUACAGAGUGAACAUUAAUACAACACCAAAUUAUUGUUUUCCACGGUAGGCUAUAUACUUAAAAAGAACUUUUCUUAACAAGAAUAACGAAUAUGCUUUAAAAGAAUAUGCUUUUUGGGAUUUUUCUAUUUAAAUUAGACUUUAAAAAAAUAGCUACAUGUAAUUAGUGCGUUUUAAACGUAAUAAUCAAAUUCAAAAAACUUACUUAUUGAAGGUCACCUCAUAUUGUUUUAUUUCUUUUCUGGAGAACUCGUGAAAUUCUGUAUAAACGUUGACGAAUUUAUAUUUCGGUUUUAUUUCGACACCUUCUUCGAGCUUGUCAUUGAUUUCUUGUCUCCUGGAUAGAAUGCCGUUCAAUUCUUCAGUUGCUGCCAUUAUUUACGCGGCGAAAAAUAUUGAAAAUCAGUUUUUUGCAGGGUUGCGCUUUCAACGAUGCGAGAGGCUGCGGUUGGCGCCUUAGAGAUACUGUGGUAGUGCGGACGCGGGACGGUGUGGGUUGGCACGCGAUGCCUUAGUCGUGAGCAAGGCGCGGGGGACGGACGGGCGGCGCGUAUGUUUGCCGCGC